UCAGGGCCUUGUCCCGGCUGGGGGUUGGCGGAGGGGGGGGGAGGGAGGAUUUCUGCCUCCCUCCCCACCCAGAACAAACUUCCCUGUCCCCAGUAAAACGCUGCAGCCGUUCCACUGUAGCCUCCCUCGCUUUCCGCUGGGGCCAGCUGGAAGGGCCUGCAAAGCCCCUCUCUCCGUCCCUCCGUGACGGUUUUCUCCCCUCGCUCCUUCCCUUAGCGCGACGCAGACGGGAAGCGCCUCGCCGGCGUAAAGGGCUACCCUGAGCUCUUCCCUGCUGCUUGAAACGAAGCCCUGAGAGCAGUGGCGGGCAGGGGGGUAGGAGUCUCGCUGCCUCGAUGACCGUUGUUAUUGUUGCCCUCCUCGGGCUUUCCCUAAAGCUGCUGCGCCCAAACCAACUGAAACCAGUUAAGGGAGGCUUUCCUGCCGCAUCCAUCCUGCCGCAGGAGCGACGGUGCCAGAGCAUGACUGACUGGAACGUAUUUGUCAUCGCCCGAGUUUGCUUCCUCUUCCAGCUGCUGGCUACUCCCUUUCUCGCUUUUUUUCUCUAAUAAUUUUACCCCUGGAAAAAGCUCCUUUGGACUUUCACAGGGCAGAGCAGAGAGAGGCUUUGAGGUACCGAGAGCUUUCUAGACUACAGUCCGGGUCCCCGAAGAAAAAACCUUUGUUUCUCCCCCACUGUCUUCUUAAAAAUUCCCCAUCCCCAUCUUUCUGGCGCACACAACAGCUCGCCGAUUGAUCGCAACCAGCCGUCCCCUCCGAAGCAGCCUCCGCGCUUCAAAAUUGUUCCCUGUUCCUCCCCUGCGAGAAGAUUAAUUAAUGUUUCAAUAGACUACAAGCAAAAAGGAGGCAGAAGACAGACUCCAUUCUUCUCUCCUGCUGUUGCUGCCUCUAGAAGAAGAGACGGUGGAGCAGGCCGUGAACCAACCUUUGUCCCGUCGUGGGGGGAGAGCUCCAUAAUGGCUGCAAGAAGAGGCUGUUUGUUGCUGCCAUCUGCGCCUCGGAGCCGUGCUUCACACCUGGCUGCCCCUUUGGCCUGCUAG
rnacentral:lncRNA from 1 species